GCCGCAAGGUGCAUGGCAGACGGGUGAGUAACGCGUGGGGAAUCUACCUCUUUGUGGGGAAUAACGCUCCGAAAGGAGUGGUAAUACCGCAUGAGAUCCAUGGCUGGGAUGCUGUGGAUGAAACCUGGGGAUCGCAAGACCUGGGGCAAGGAGAGGAUCCUGCGUCUGAUUAGCUAGUUGGUGAGGUAACGGCCCACCAAGGCAACGAUCAGUAGCCGGCCUGAGAGGGUGAUCGGCCACACUGGAACUGAGACACGGUCCAGACUCCUACGGGAGGCAGCAGUGGGGAAUUUUGCGCAAUGGGCGAAAGCCUGACGCAGCAACGCCGCGUGGGUGAUGAAGGUCUUCGGAUCGUAAAACCCUGUCGUCGGGGACGAAGGUGGGCGGGUUAAUAGCCUGUUUGCUUGACGGUACCCGGAGAGGAAGCCCCGGCUAACUCUGUGCCAGCAGCCGCGGUAAUACAGAGGGGGCAAGCGUUAUUCGGAAUUAUUGGGCGUAAAGGGCGCGUAGGCGGCUUUUUAAGUGAGAUGUGUAAUCCCCGAGCUCAACUUGGGAACUGCAUCUCAUACUGGGAGGCUAGAGUACUGGAGAGGGUGGUAGAAUUCCACGUGUAGCGGUGAAAUGCGUAGAGAUGUGGAGGAAUACCAGUGGCGAAGGCGGCCACCUGGACAGUAACUGACGCUGAGGCGCGAAAGUGUGGGUAGCAAACAGGAUUAGAUACCCUGGUAGUCCACACUGUAAACGAUGAACACUUGGUGUGGAGGGAGUUGACCCCUUCCGUGCCGUAGCUAACGCGUUAAGUGUUCCGCCUGGGGA
rnacentral:rRNA from 1 species